rnacentral:rRNA from 1 species
UGGGGAAUUUUGGACAAUGGGCGCAAGCCUGAUCCAGCAAUGCCGCGUGCAGGAAGAAGGCUUUCUGAGUUGUAAACUGCUUUUGCCAGAGGAUAAAAAGCCCAUGCGUGGGAAAUUGAAGGUACCUGGUGAAUAAGCACCGGCUAAUUACGUGCCAGCAGCCGCGGUAAUACGUAGGGUGCGAGCGUUAAUCGGAAUUACUGGGCGUAAAGCGUGCGCAGGCGGUUAUAUAAGACAGAUGUGAAAUCCCCGGGCUCAACCUGGGACCUGCAUUUGUGACUGUAUAGCUAGAGUACGGUAGAGGGGGAUGGAAUUCCGCGUGUAGCAGUGAAAUGCGUAGAUAUGCGGAGGAACGCCGAUGGCGAAGGCAAUCCCCUGGACCUGUACUGACGCUCAUGCACGAAAGCGUGGGGAGCAAACA